GCCCUGGUAGCUCAAUUGGUUAGAGCGUCGGACUUUUACAAUUAUGUCUUUGAUAUAUAUGUCUUUGUCAUCCGAAGGCUGCGGGUUCGACCCCCGCCUGGGGCG